rnacentral:tRNA from 1 species
UAGGAAAUAAUAUAAAGGGAGUAUGGAGGAUUUUGAUUCCUUCUGUGCAGGUUCGAUCCCUGCUUUUCUAA